rnacentral:rRNA from 1 species
GGAGGUAGUGACAAUAAAUCACAAUGCGGGACUCAUAGUCUUGCAAUUGGAUUGAGAACAACGUACAACUCUUAUCGAUAAGCCAUUGGAGGGCAAGUCUGGUGCCAGCAGCCGCGGUAAUUCCAGCUCCAAUAGCGUAUAUUAACGUUGUUGCAGUUAAAAAGCUCGUAGUUGAAGUGUGGGUGGUGCCUACUUCAUGACUUCGGUUGUGAGGCAGAUCACUACCCCCUUCCAGUAUCCAGUAGUGGGUAUUCAGUUACUUACUACUGUGUGUUGGUCGUUUACUGUGAGAAAAUUAGAGUGUUCAAAGCAGGCGUUUGCUUGAAUAGAUUAGCAUGGAAUAAUAAUUGAAGGCUUUCGUGUUCGAUUUGAUUGGUUUGUUCAUGGAAGCAAGGUUAAAAGGAACAGUUGGGGGUAUUCAUAUUCACUAGUUAGAGGUGAAAUUCUCGGAUUUAUGGAAGAUGAACAAGUGCGAAAGCA